rnacentral:rRNA from 1 species
CCUACGGGAGACAGCAGUAGGGAAUUUUCGUCAAUGGGCGCAAGCCUGAACGAGCAAUGCCGCGUGAACGAGGAAGGUCUUCGGAUCGUAAAGUUCUGUUGACGGGGAAAAAGAGCGGAGAGAGGAAAUGCUUUCUGAUUGAUAUUACCCUUCGAGGAAGUCACGGCUAACUACGUGCCAGCAGCCGCGGUAAUACGUAGGUGGCGAGCGUUAUCCGGAAUGGUUGGGCGUAAAGGGUGCGUAGGCGGCCUGCUAAGUCUGGAGUGAAAGGUACCGGCUCAACCGGUACAGGCUCUGGAAACUGGCGGACUAGAGAGGAGGAGAGGGCGGUGGAACUCCAUGUGUAGCGGUAAAAUGCGUAGAUAUAUGGAAGAACAUCAGUGGCGAAGGCGGCCGCCUGGCCUGUUAACUGACGCUGAGGCACGAAAGCGUGGGGAGCAAAUAGGAUUAGAUACCCCAGUAGUC